rnacentral:rRNA from 1 species
UACGUAGGUGGCAAGCGUUGUCCGGAAUUAUUGGGCGUAAAGCGCGCGCAGGCGGUCCUUUAAGUCUGAUGUGAAAGCCCACGGCUCAACCGUGGAGGGUCAUUGGAAACUGGGGGACUUGAGUGCAGAAGAGGAAAGCGGAAUUCCACGUGUAGCGGUGAAAUGCGUAGAGAUGUGGAGGAACACCGGUGGCGAAGGCGGCCUGCUGGGCUAUGGCUGACACUGAGGCGCGACAGCGUGGGGAGCAAACAGG